CCGACCACACCAAUAACAAAAAGAAAUCAACCGAGAUUCCCCCAGUAGCGCGAGCGAACGGGGAGCAGCCCAGAGUCUGAAUCAGCUUGUGUGUUAGUGGAACGGUCUGGAAAGUCCGACGGUACAGGGUGAUAGUCCCGUACACCAAAAUGCACAGGCUGUGAACUCGAAGAGUAGGGCGGGACACGUGGUAUCCUGUCUGAAUAUGGGGGGACCAUCCUCCAAGGCUAAAUACUCCUGACUGACCGAUAGUGAACCAGUACCGUGAGGGAAAGGCGAAAAGAACCCCGGCGAGGGGAGUGAAAAAGAACCUGAAACCGUGUACGUACAAGCAGUGGGAGCACCUUCGGGUGUGACUGCGUACCUUUUGUAUAAUGGGUCAGCGACUUAUAUUCUGUAGCAAGGUUAACCGUAUAGGGGAGCCGCAGGGAAACCGAGUCUUAACUGGGCGUUAAGUUGCAGGGUAUAGACCCGAAACCCGGUGAUCUAGCCAUGGGCAGGUUGAAGGUUGGGUAACACUAACUGGAGGACCGAACCGACUAAUGUUGAAAAAUUAGCGGAUGACUUGUGGCUGGGGGUGAAAGGCCAAUCAAACCGGGAGAUAGCUGGUUCUCCCCGAAAGCUAUUUAGGUAGCGCCUCGUGAAUUCAUCUUCGGGGGUAGAGCACUGUUUCGGCUAGGGGGUCAUCCCGACUUACCAACCCGAUGCAAACUACGAAUACCGAAGAAUGUUAUCACGGGAGACACACGGCGGGUGCUAACGUCCGUCGUGAAGAGGGAAACAACCCAGACCGCCAGCUAAGGUCCCAAAGUCAUGGUUAAGUGGGAAACGAUGUGGGAAGGCACAGACAGCCAGGAUGUUGGCUUAGAAGCAGCCAUCAUUUAAAGAAAGCGUAAUAGCUCACUGGUCGAGUCGGCCUGCGCGGAAGAUGUAACGGGGCUAAACCAUGCACCGAAGCUGCGGCAGCGACACUAUGUGUUGUUGGGUAGGGGAGCGUUCUGUAAGCCUGCGAAGGUGUGCUGUGAGGCAUGCUGGAGGUAUCAGAAGUGCGAAUGCUGACAUAAGUAACGAUAAAGCGGGUGAAAAGCCCGCUCGCCGGAAGACCAAGGGUUCCUGUCCAACGUUAAUCGGGGCAGGGUGAGUCGACCCCUAAGGCGAGGCCGAAAGGCGUAGUCGAUGGGAAACAGGUUAAUAUUCCUGUACUUGGUGUUACUGCGAAGGGGGGACGGAGAAGGCUAUGUUAGCCGGGCGACGGUUGUCCCGGUUUAAGCAUGUAGGCUGGUUGUCCAGGCAAAUCCGGAUAAUCAAGGCUGAGGUGUGAUGACGAGGCACUACGGUGCUGAAGUAACAAAUGCCCUGCUUCCAGGAAAAGCCUCUAAGCAUCAGGUAACAUCAAAUCGUACCCCAAACCGACACAGGUGGUCAGGUAGAGAAUACCAAGGCGCUUGAGAGAACUCGGGUGAAGGAACUAGGCAAAAUGGUGCCGUAACUUCGGGAGAAGGCACGCUGGUGUGUAGGUGAAGUCCCUGCGGAUGGAGCUGAGACCAGUCGAAGAUACCAGCUGGCUGCAACUGUUUAUUAAAAACACAGCACUGUGCAAACACGAAAGUGGACGUAUACGGUGUGACGCCUGCCCGGUGCCGGAAGGUUAAUUGAUGGGGUUAUCCGUAAGGAGAAGCUCUUGAUCGAAGCCCCGGUAAACGGCGGCCGUAACUAUAACGGUCCUAAGGUAGCGAAAUUCCUUGUCGGGUAAGUUCCGACCUGCACGAAUGGCGUAAUGAUGGCCAGGCUGUCUCCACCCGAGACUCAGUGAAAUUGAACUCGCUGUGAAGAUGCAGUGUACCCGCGGCAAGACGGAAAGACCCCGUGAACCUUUACUAUAGCUUGACACUGAACAUUGAGCCUUGAUGUGUAGGAUAGGUGGGAGGCUUUGAAGCGUGGACGCCAGUCUGCGUGGAGCCAACCUUGAAAUACCACCCUUUAAUGUUUGAUGUUCUAACGUUGGCCCCUUACCGGGGUUGCGGACAGUGUCUGGUGGGUAGUUUGACUGGGGCGGUCUCCUCCCAAAGCGUAACGGAGGAGCACGAAGGUUAGCUAAUCCUGGUCGGACAUCAGGAGGUUAGUGCAAUGGCAUAAGCUAGCUUGACUGCGAGCGUGACGGCGCGAGCAGGUG
rnacentral:rRNA from 1 species